GGAUGUGGCUCAGCUUGGUAGAGCGCCUGGUUUGGGACCAGGAUGCCGCAGGUUCGAAUCCUGUCAUCC
rnacentral:tRNA from 1 species